rnacentral:rRNA from 1 species
GACGAACGCUGGCGGCGUGCUUAACACGCAAGUCGAACGAAGAGCGAUGGAAGCUUGCUUCUAUCAAUCUUAGUGGCGAACGGGUGAGUAACGCGUAAUCAACCUGCCCUUCAGAGGGGGACAACAGUUGGAAACGACUGCUAAUACCGCAUACGAUCUAAUCUCGGCAUCGAGGAUAGAUGAAAGGUGGCCUCUACAUGUAAGCUAUCACUGAAGGAGGGGAUUGCGUCUGAUUAGCUAGUUGGAGGGGUAACGGCCCACCAAGGCGAUGAUCAGUAGCCGGUCUGAGAGGAUGAACGGCCACAUUGGGACUGAGACACGGCCCAGACUCCUACGGGAGGCAGCAGUGGGGAAUCUUCCGCAAUGGACGAAAGUCUGACGGAGCAACGCCGCGUGAGUGAUGACGGCCUUCGGGUUGUAAAGCUCUGUUAAUCGGGACGAAAGGCCUUC